rnacentral:lncRNA from 1 species
GCCCAUGCACCGCUUCCGCAGGGCCCUGCUGUGGGAGCUCAUGGAGGUGGCACGGUGCAUGGAAGGACUGAGUGGCUGACAGUGAGCUGCCCAAGCAAGCUGCUGGCUCUUGUGACCGUCUCCGAAAGCCUGUGGAUGGGCUAAAUUGCAGACGUGCCUGGACAUUUAUAAAUGGUGCUGCUAUCCAGCUCUACGUCACAGCCAUGAAGUGGCCAUGGGGUGAACUAUGUACAACUGCUGUCAUUAGUACUCGAAUCGGCAGAGCCACCUACUAGCUGUGAAGCCCAGUUGCCAGGCAGCAGAUACUCGACCAGCAACCAGCCUUUGUCGCUCUAGUGGGACACGAGAGCGACAAACAGAAACAAACGACAGCUACAAGCCUCCAACCCAUUCAGCAUGCCCGUGGUGGUACUUUUGGCUGGCGGCGUUUAUUCAUUCGGUGCUCGUGAAAUAAGCAUGAGUGAUUCUAAGCCAGCCAAAGAUACCCUCGCGUGCAUGACGCUUGUGUUUAAGCAUAGCCUCUUUUAUUCUACAAAGCCUGUCAAAUCUGGAAAGACUCAGGUUUGAGACUUGUCGUCAUUUGUUUCUGUUUGUCGCUGUAGUGGAACUCGGGCAUAAGCUAGCACCAUGUACUGAACAUGAAAUAAAAAAAACACUGUAUCAAACUUGA